rnacentral:rRNA from 1 species
GAUGAACGCUGGCGGCGUGCCUAAUACAUGCAAGUCGAACGGGAGCGACCGGUGCUUGCACGGGUUCAUCUAGUGGCGGACGGGUGAGUAACACGUGGGUACCCUGUUCAUCAGGGGGGGAUAACAUCCGGGAACGGAUGCUCAAACCGCAUAGGUCUUCGAGCCGCAUGGCUUUUCGAGGCAAAGAGGCGCAUGCUACUGUUGAUGGGUGGACCCGGGGUGCAUGAGCUAGUUGGUGGGGUAACGGCUCCCCAAGGCCGCGAUUCGUAGCCGCCCUGAGAGGCUGAUCAGCCACACUGGAACUGAGACACGGCCCAGACUCCUACGGGAGGCAGCAGUGGGGAAUAUUCGACAAUGGGCGCAAGUCUGACGGAGCAACGCCGCGUGAGUGAAGAAGGUUUUCGGAUCGUAAAGCUCUGUUGGUAGGGAAGAACGGGUGCUAGAGUAAAUCUUGGUGUCUUGACGGUACCUAACGAGUAAGCCACGGCUAACUACGUG